UUCAUUCAUUCGGCCGAACCCUUGAUUUUGAAAAAAAAAAAUUAUUCGACGAGCUUCUUCGGCGAAUCAUCACUUCUAUCCUUUUCCUCUCAUUCUCCUGAGCUUGGUGGCGAAGCUUCCUCCCAGGGGAAGAAAAUUGCCGACCUGUGAGCGCGUCUCAAGACGAGACGACGUGUUUAUACUCUCUCUUCUUCUUCCUCAGGUUGCGACGUUGGACUGAGUUGUGCUGGGCAGGCAGUAGGUUGACUUACUCUUUUUCUCCUUGUUUAGGUUAGUGCAGUGUGCAUGUAAAUUUUAUGGAUCCACUAGACUCAACUUUUGUGUAUUUGUAUUUUCUGGUUGUAUUUGGAACUCUGGCUGGUUCUGUAGUGGAGGUUGUUUCCCUCUUCAGUUCAUUGUGGUAGCGGGUUUGUUUUGAGCCUUACGAUGACUUGGAGGUAGGAUGCGGUAGGGUCCACUCAUUGUUGUGACGAUUGCCACGUGCCCGGCUAGG